CCUACGGGUGGCAGCAGUGGGGGAUAUUGCACAAUGGGGGAAACCCUGAUGCAGCGACGCCGCGUGUGGGAAGACGGUCCUCUGGAUUGUAAACCACUGUCCCCAGGGACGAAGAUGACGGUACCUGGGGAGGAAGCUCCGGCUAACUACGUGCCAGCAGCCGCGGUAAUACGUAGGGAGCGAGCGUCGGCCGGAAUUACGGGGGGUAAGGGGAGCGGAGGUGGGGAUGCAAGGUGGGUGUAAAAACUACCGGCUCAACUGGUAGUCGCACUCAAAACUGCAGCUCUUGAGUGAAGUAGAGGCAGGCGGAAUUCCUAGUGUAGCGGUGAAAUGCGUAGAUAUUAGGAGGAACACCAGUGGCGAAGGCGGCCUGCUGGGCUUUUACUGACGCUGAGGCUCGAAAGUGUGGGGAGCAAACAGGAUUAGAUACCCCUGUAGUC
rnacentral:rRNA from 1 species